UCCUGAGAUGAAAACUUUACAUAGGAAGUGCCGUCUGAUGCGACAACUGACGAUGUUUUAAACCACAAUGUUCUGAGG